rnacentral:tRNA from 1 species
GCGUGGGUUGGCUCAGCGGUUAGAGCGUAGGUCUUGUAACCAAAAAGUCGGGGGAUCGAAUCCCGCUAGAGGCU